UCGCAGGUUCUUUUUUUAGCCCUGUCUAAGGAAAUAAAUUUGAACCUCCCAAAAACAUAUGACAAGACCAAGACCACAAGACCAAGUCAUGUUUGCCCUUGUGCUGUUCUUAAAUGAAUUCAACACAAAGUUCCCGGUAUAUUCACUGCCCGUGGGAGACUUCCAGGACUUCCGCCCAAAGCACGAAAAAGACUUCGCCAACCGAGCCAUCUAUUUUGCCCUGUGGAGGGAAAGUGGUGACAAAGAUGAACAUUUUGCGAUCCAGAUCCUCAUAAUGGCAGAUUCACUAUGGCAGAAGCAGAGCACGAAACGGGUGCCAAUGCCUCCCUUCAACGCUUCAGAAUGUGAAGAGGCUGACACACAAACACAAAGUUGUGCCGUGCAAAAGCAAAAGACUAGACAAG